rnacentral:rRNA from 1 species
AUGUGGUUUAAUUCGAUGAUACGCGAGGAACCUUACCUGGGCUCAAAUGUAUGUUGACGUAUUCUGAAAGGGAUACUUCUUCGGACAAUAUACAAGGUGCUGCAUGGUUGUCGUCAGCUCGUGCCGUGAGGUGUCGGGUUAAGUCCCAUAACGAGCGCAACCCCUAUCAUUAGUUGCCAUCAGGUCAAGCUGGGGACUCUAAUGAAACUGCCUACGCAAGUAGUGAGGAAGGUGGGGAUGACGUCAAAUCAGCACGGCCCUUACGUCCAGGGCUACACACGUGCUACAAUGGCCGGUACAAAGGGCAGCUACCUGGUGACAGGAUGCAAAUCUCCAAAGUCGGUCUCAGUUCGGAUCGGAGUCUGCAACCCGACUCCGUGAAGUUGGAUUCGCUAGUAAUCGCGCAUCAGCCAUGGCGCGGUGAAUACGUUCCCGGGCCUU